GAAUGAUCAGGAGCAAGGGGAAACCCUUCUCCUUCAACUACUUACAAGAACUCAAGAAUUGAACCUGAUUUUGAGAAGAAAUCGAAUGCAUGAGGCUAGAUACAACAUAAUCUAAGUGUAUUGAUCAUAAGAAUCGGACCCACACAAGCAUGGACGUGGACUCAAGCACGAAAGACUAACGGGUCAAGAUGAGGCAAGCAAGCGGGUAUGAACACGGAUGCACAAGGAACGAGAAUAUCGGAUUCUUACGAAAAAUUAAGCUCUACCUGAAAUAAGAGGAUGAGUGCCACACGGACUUCUUCUGCUACUUAGAAAGUGAAGCGGAGGUAGAUCGAGUCAAGAGCAAGGAUUGCACGGAUAGAUCGGUCAUAUAAUUGAAGUGUAUAACGUCUAGUAAUGUAAAUUUUAGUAUAAAUGUUGUAAAUUCUUUUAUAGAACGUUUAACAUUUUUAGCAUUGGAACCUUCGCGAAAGUAAUGUCGUUAAUAAGGAAAGAAAUUUUUAAAGCCCUUU